GUACACGUUUUCUUCCACGUUUUUCUUACAAAUCAAUUGCAAGUCACCUACACAUAUCCACGUUGCACUCGCGAAGAAAGAAAAUCCAAGAAAACGUAUUCCCAAUGAACAAUCAAUGUCGAACACUUUGCUCGCUACGUAUCGCACACAAUACAAUCUGUACAACGACGAAAGUCGAUUAGAAUUUCAACGAUGGCACGCGCAAUAGGAACGCGAAAACACGGGCAUUUGUUCGGUUGUUAUGUUCCGUACGCUCUCGAACGUAGAUAAUUCGAUCGGAUAAAAGAAAUCGCCGGAGCAAGACAAACAAGCAAUGUGUCGUAUGGUCUGGUCUGGUCUGGCCGAGGCACUCUGGUUCGUUCACCCUUUCGGCUGGCAUAAGUCGUUCGGCGGCAUUCCAGGCCGCGCUACUUCCGUGGGAACGCUCUUUGUUCGUUAACUUCGACGUUUUCCCGGGGACUGUAAGUCUUCGUUCGACGAAACGACAUUCAUACAUCGCGCCUCAAGAUUCUCGGCGUUUAACAGUAUCGCGAUUGUACCGUUGAUUCCAAG
rnacentral:misc_RNA from 1 species